GAAUCUUCCCGGCCUGGGCCCCAGACAUGUGGGCAAGCGAGAAGCCUCCAGGAGAUUCUAGUUCCCAGCGCUUUAGCCACAACAGUCCACGGUGGGUGGAGCAGAGCGGAGCUGUCUUCCAAGGGCAGACGGAAGAGUUCUUUUCACUGCCAGGAACUGACCUGUUUCCUUAUGUGUUGAUUCUCCCCCUGAUGAGGAUGUCAGCUCCAUGACAGGGCUUCUGGUGGCCACUGAGAGGAAGAGAGGUUCUCUGCAUUCAUCUUCUCUCCAGAUGGAAUGUUCUUCUUUGUAGAAGAGAAGACUAGCACUGCUGUGCUACCCUGUUGGCACCUAUUCACUUUUCCUCACUUGAUCUCCACACCAACGUUUCGCCUGAGGAACCGAGGGUGAUAAGUAACUCCACCUUCUAAAGAAGCUGCUAAAGCAUCCAUGUAGGAUUUGCUAAGAAGUGGCCCAACACCAGUUCUAUGCCCUUGCCCCAUCACCCACCUCCAGCCUAUAUAUGAGAAGACUGGAGCUUGAUCAAGGAUGCUGGGGAGUAAAGAUUUCUUCAAAGCAACUUAUCACAGUGUCCUGUGUUUUCCCUACCCACCGACUGAGGCUUGAAGGAAAGUGUUUUCUUGUCCCUCUUCAAGCCAGAUCCAACUAAAAACCCUGGAUAUUGUACCUAAAAGACACAAAAGAAGAAUCUGGAAGGUGGAGAGAAGAGGUAGAUUGGCUAGACCUUGGGAUCCCAAGAGCAGCAUGGGGCUGUCGCUGUGAAUGGACAUAGCAGCUGGAAUGGAGGAUAACACAUCACACCUCCACUUUGAAUUUCCUGCCUUUUGUUUUCUUGAAUCAUAGCCUUGAUGUUGUUUAAAUAGUGCUCUGUAUAUUUAAUUUCCUUUUUCUCUUCACAAAGACCAAAUGAUUUUUUAAAACCAUCUCAUCUUUCAUGGUAGGUUAUAAAAGUGUUCUUGAG
rnacentral:lncRNA from 1 species